rnacentral:rRNA from 1 species
UACAGAGGUCUCAAGCGUUGUUCGGAUUCAUUGGGCGUAAAGGGUGUGUAGGUGGCGCCGUAAGUCGGGUGUGAAAGUCCAGGGCUCAACCCUGGGAUGCCGGUGGAUACUGUCGGACUAGAGUACGGAAGAGGCGAGUGGAAUUCCCGGUGUAGCGGUGAAAUGCGCAGAUAUCGGGAGGAACACCAAUUGCGAAGGCGGCUCACUGGUCCGGUACUGACGCUGAGGUGCGAAAGCGUGGGGAGCAAACAGG